rnacentral:rRNA from 1 species
UACGUCGGUGGCAAGCGUUGUCCGGAUUUACUGGGCGUAAAGAGCGCGCAGGCGGUCGUUCAAGUCGCGUGUGAAAGCCCCCGGCUCAACUGGGGAGGGUCACGCGAUACUGAUCGACUGGAAGGCAGGAGAGGGUAGUGGAAUUCCCGGUGUAGUGGUGAAAUGCGUAGAUAUCGGGAGGAACACCAGUGGCGAAGGCGACUACCUGGCCUGUUCUUGACGCUGAGGCGCGAAAGCUAGGGGAGCAAACGGG